ACCAUAAUGACUCCAGGCAGGCAAUUGUGGUGCGACGGGAUGUGCUGCCAUGUAGUAGCAGGUGACAUACCUCUUCAAUCAGUCAUGGACUAAUCGGCAAAGCCUCCAGUUUAGGUUCAUUCUGGAAAAAAUCCCGAAGUCUUGAUGAUUAUUUUCAUCCCAACGUUUCAAUAUUGCUUCCUGCUGCGCUCACCCUGGCUUCCCUUUGCUAUUGCUGAAUUUCCAGGUAGCAGCUGAAGCUAUACCAAAAAAAAAACCAACCCAAAGCCCAAUAAAUGCCUGGUAAUCCAGGCUGGGCACAGCCAGAUCCUCUUUGCUAGGCACUAUGCAAUGCAUUCACCCUUAAAAAUUAACUGAGAGGAUGUUGCGAAGACCUGGCUCACACAUAAAGAAAAGAGGCACAGUUUGAUACAUGCCUUCUCCAAUGAGCACUGCUAAUAGAUUUCCAUGGUCCUUGUUGGAGUUCUGGAGAAGAUCUAUCUGAGGACUUUGGAGUCUCUUGGACAAAGAAAACCCAAACCAACAAACAAACAAACCAACCAAAACCAUUAAGCAGAAUAAGUGUAUUAAACCUCAGUGGGCUCAUACAGUGCUAUCCAAGGGAGAGAUUUCCCAGGUGAGACAGGCUCUGGGAGAAGACCUGUGAUCAGGUUGCUGGCCACUGGAUGUCACUGCUGCCUACCCAAAGUGCAUGCUGAACCAGACCACCAAGGGGUUGGACACAGACCAGACCUCAUGCAGGAGAGAGCAUGGGAAUGCACAGCCAAAGCAGGCAGGGCAGAAGGACUGACUUUUCCUGGCAGGAGUGAGCCAUCAGAUCAGAUCAGC
rnacentral:lncRNA from 1 species